AUUGCUUCUCGGCCUUUUGGCUAAGAUCAAGUGUAAAAAGUAAACUUCAACAGAAUUCUACUUGUAUGUGUAACAAAGAGAGAAAAUAGAAAUGCCAUUUUUUUGUUAAAUAACAAUUCAAGUAUUUUAAGAAAACCCUCU
ensembl:snRNA U2 U2 spliceosomal RNA